AAUCUUGCGCAAUGGGCGAAAGCCUGACGCAGCAACGCCGCGUGAACGAUGAAGGCCUUCGGGUCGUAAAGUUCUGUCAGGGGGGACGAAAACUGACGGUACCCCCGGAGGAAGCUCCGGCUAACUACGUGCCAGCAGCCGCGGUAAUACGUAGGGGGCGAGCGUUGUCCGGAAUUACUGGGCGUAAAGGGUACGUAGGCGGCUAUAUAAGUCAGGUGUGAAAUACCAGUGCUUAACACUGGAAUUGCAUUUGAAACUGUGUAGCUUGAGUGCAGGAGAGGAAAGUGGAAUUCCUAGUGUAGCGGUGAAAUGCGUAGAGAUUAGGAGGAACACCAGUGGCGAAGGCGACUUUCUGGACUGUAACUGACGCUGAGGUACGAAAGCGUGGGUAGCGAACA
rnacentral:rRNA from 1 species